rnacentral:lncRNA from 1 species
CUCAUCAUAACCUUAAAACUAUUGUCUUGAUCUAUGAGAUUCAUCAUGAUCUUAAUUAAAAACAUAAGAUGCAGCACAUGAUGAAACAAAAAAUAUCUUUUUAUUAAUAUAAAAUAUCAUUUACAUAAGUCUGAAAGAUUACAAAAAAAAUCUCUUAUAUACAUAAGUCGAUUGGCUUGUAGGGCAUAUUCUUUUUAGAAUAUU